CAACUGGUAGUUUAUUGAAGAAUAUUAAUUUUGGGUAUUAAAGGUAUAGAGUGUAUAUCUAUUGUGUUGA
rnacentral:tRNA from 1 species